GAUGAACGCUGGCGGCGUGCCUAAUACAUGCAAGUCGAGCGAAUGGAUUAAGAGCUUGCUCUUAUGAAGUUAGCGGCGGACGGGUGAGUAACACGUGGGUAACCUGCCCAUAAGACUGGGAUAACUCCGGGAAACCGGGGCUAAUACCGGAUAACAUUUUGAACCGCAUGGUUCGAAAUUGAAAGGCGGCUUCGGCUGUCACUUAUGGAUGGACCCGCGUCGCAUUAGCUAGUUGGUGAGGUAACGGCUCACCAAGGCAACGAUGCGUAGCCGACCUGAGCGGGUGAUCGGCCACACUGGGACUGAGACACGGCCCAGACUCCUACGGGAGGCAGCAGUAGGGAAUCUUACGCAAUGGACGAAAGUCUGACGGAGCAACGACGCGUGAGUGAUGAAGGCUUUCGGGUCGUAAAACUCCGUUGUUAGGGAAGAACAAGUGCUAGUUGAAUAAGCUGGCACCUUGACGGUACCUAACCAGAAAGCCACGGCUAACUACGUGCCAGCCGCCGCGGUAA
rnacentral:rRNA from 1 species